AAGGUAUGGAGACAAGAAUCACAGGACUGAUAUAGACAAACCACCCAUGUAGGACUUGGAGCCAUCUCUCCUAACAGUGAUGGGAAUGAUGACACAAAGCUCAAGACAUUCUGGCUGGUGCAAGUGGGGAACAGGAGUGAGGCUCAGGGCCCUGACUAGUGUGGAGUCAGAGCUAAAGAACCUCUCAAAGACAGAGAAAGUGACAAGUGAAUGCUACCAGAGACCUCAGCACACCCUUUCAUUCUUAUCCUCCAUCCAUGUCAUGGUGCCAAGGUCACACAGGGUCAUAAAAGGUUGGAAUUCUUUGUAAGUUCUGACUAAGACUGGAGGCAUCUCGGAUUGAACACCACAAUAUUACUUGGGUGGCAAUGGCCAUGGGGUCAUAUGGUGCCUUGUUUGACCUAUGUCUAUCGAUGAAGGAUGCCAUGAGGCCCAGAAGUGGGCUCAUGGAAAACGUUCAGAAUCCGAUCUCGAGAUUUUUGAGCAGAUCUUCUCAUGAGGACUUUGCUGAGGAACUUCCUAUCAAAAUUGGACCACCUGGGGGAAAAAGAUUGCAUCAGAAAUGGGAGUCUGGGGCUGCUUACCCCACAUGGACAAGAACAAGUGGCUGGCAGUGGAACUAAAUGCCAUUUUCAAGUGACACAAUGAUCAAGUUUCCAAGUGGCCACCUGACCCUCCAGGUACUGUGAGGACAGGACCAAGAUUAAGACAACAGCAGCCAUAAUUCCAACUCCUGACACAUCGCUGUCUAGGGUACAUUACUCAACUCUGCAGCUCACAUGGACUCUAGGUAAUUAUCUCAAAACAGGUAUUAACAAGUGUCAAUUAAAUGCUUUAGUCAUAUAGUUUUAAGUACCACUUUAUGUUGUAGUAAAAUAUAAAUGAGUGAUUUAUAUUUCAUAAACAAGGUAAUUUUAAGUAUCAAUAAACACACCUUUCCUCUGUGAA